rnacentral:tRNA from 1 species
AUCAAAAUAGUUAAGAUAUAAUAAGACUUUGAAGAAGUUUAGUAGAGAUAAUAUUCUCUUUUGAUA